GGUUCUAUAGUGUAGCGGUUAUCACGUCUGCUUUGCACACAGAAGGUCCUGGGUUCAACCCCCAGUGGAACCA
rnacentral:tRNA from 1 species